GAAGACAAAUAAUUGGAUGUGGUAUAAUGUGAACAAUGUAUGUGAUAUCAUCACAGCAUGCCGUACAGAGACAGUGGAGCAGGGUGUAGUGCCAGGUGACACUUCUAGUUACACUUGGCAAUGUUUAGAACACCUAUGGAGAAUGAACGGAGCAGUGGUCAUGCAAGAUGAGGAAUAUUUACAUACAGUGCAGAUGUGUCCCAGAUGGGAAAACUCCUUCACAUAAAGAUGACUGAAGAGGCAGAGCUGAAGUGACAGGCCAGCAGCCUGAACCAAUGAUGAGACAGGAGAUGGAUUUCAGACUCCACACUGUAGUCGCAGAUCACUGCACUGCCCUAAUGGGAGUAAACUAAAAAGAUCUGAAGAAAAUAAAUUGGUUAUCUAGAAAGGAGAAUGAGAACAUACCAUUUUGUUGUUUAUUUCAUGGAAAUGAAUCUCACAGACUUUCUCCACAACAUCUUCAUUUUCAAAGGUUACAAA